CAGAGGGGCUUCCAUUUAGCAUUUUGUUGGCAAGAUGUUCCUAGUCCUGAGAUUUAUAAGUAUUUGUAGCCACUGCGGCUGCUUUAAGGACGGACCAUCCCCUCCUCUGUUUUCCUCAAGGUACAGCUGAGAAGAGAGGGGAGGAAGAGAGCGGGUUACUUCUGUCUCUACUGCAGCAGCAAGGGAAGAGGGAAGGUAUUAAAGAUACUGGAGCCUGUCUUCCAUGUGGCCACCCUAUGAUUCCUUCAUGUCAAGAUGC